GGGGGGAAUUGGAAACAUGGGGGCACCCUGAUCCAGCGACGCCGCGUGAGGGAAGAAGGUUUUCGGAUUGUAAACCUCUGUCAACAGGGAAAAUGAUGAUGGUACCUGUGGAGGAAGCCACGGCUAACUACGUGCCAGCAGCCGCGGUAAUACGUAGGUGGCAAGCGUUGUCCGGAAUUACUGGGUGUAAAGGGAGUGUAGGCGGGACGGUAAGUCAGAAGUGAAAAUUAUGGGCUCAACUCAUAACCUGCUUUUGAAACUGCUGUUCUUGAGUGAAGUAGAGGCAAGCGGAAUUCCUAGUGUAGCGGUGAAAUGCGUAGAUAUUAGGAGGAACACCAGUGGCGAAGGCGGCUUGCUGGGCUUUUACUGACGCUGAGGCUCGAAAGCGUGGGGAGCAAACAGGAUUAGAUACCCUGGUAGUCCACGCCGUAAACGAUGAUUACUAGGUGUGGGGGGAUUGACCCCUUCCGUGCCGCAGUUAACACAAUAAGUAAUCCACCUGGGGAGUACGACCGCAAGGUUGAAACUCAAAGGAAUUGACGGGGGCCCGCACAAGCAGUGGAGUAUGUGGAUUAAUUCGAAGCAACGCGAAGAACCUUACCAGGUCUUGACAUCAAGUGACCGUUCUAGAGAUAGGACCUUCUCUUCGGAGACACGAAGACAGGUGGUGCAUGGUUGUCGUCAGCUCGUGUCGUGAGAUGUUGGGUUAAGUCCCGCAACGAGCGCAACCCUUAUGAUUAGUUGCUACGCAAGAGCACUCUAAUCAGACUGCCGUUGACAAAACGGAGGAAGGUGGGGAUGACGUCAAAUCAUCAUGCCCUUUAUGACCUGGGCCUCACACGUACUACAAUGGCGUUUUACAAAAAA
rnacentral:rRNA from 1 species